GACACUGAAGCGUGACUGAACAUGAAAAAAGAAGAGGACGAAACUUUAGCUCUUCAACUGCAAUUGGAACUUCCAAGUCACGCUUACGAACGAGCGCUCCUACAAAGAAGGACGAGUCAAAAUAAAAAAGGUGUUCGUCUAAUGUUAAGCUCAACAUUCCAUAUGAUGAUCGAAGAAUCAUAGGAUUGGAAACUCUGGAUCGUGAACUUUGGUGCAGUAUAAAUGUAAUAAGUCACUGUGCUUAGGAAACAUAAGUAGCAAAAAAAGAUAUAGACUUGCUAGUUCAUUCAAGGUGCAAUGUCUAGAAUGUUUACAAUUUUCUAUUGUAUCUAUCAAUAAACACACGGUGAACAAAGAGUAAUUCGAGAACAAAUCAGUAAUUCGAUGAUUACAAUUUUUUAUAUGGUAAGAUCGAUGUAGAAGCUGGCGAAACGCAAAUAAAUACUAUAUUAUCAGAGCUCAAUAUCCCUGCUGUAUUUCAAAGUACAUUGAAAACAUGAAAGAACCGUGACUACUAAAAUGGAAGAGCUGGCAAGGAAGAAU